GCUCAGAUUGAACGCUGGCGGCAUGCCUUACACAUGCAAGUCGAACGGCAGCAUGGAGAGCUUGCUCUCUGAUGGCGAGUGGCGAACGGGUGAGUAAUACAUCGGAACGUGUCCGUUUGUGGGGGACAACCGUCCGAAAGGAUGGCUAAUACCGCAUAAGACCUGAGGGUGAAAGCCGGGGACCGCAAGGCCCGGCGCAGACGGAGCGGCCGAUGAUUGAUUAGCUAGUUGGGGAGGUAAAGGCUCACCAAGGCGACGAUCAAUAGCUGGUCUGAGAGGACGACCAGCCACACUGGAACUGAGACACGGUCCAGACUCCUACGGGAGGCAGCAGUA
rnacentral:rRNA from 1 species